CUAGAGAGAGAGGACUCGAACCCCCAUCAAAAAAUCCAAAAUUUUCCGUAUUUCCAUUAUACUACUCACUA
rnacentral:tRNA from 1 species